CGGUCGGCGUGCCUAAUACAUGCAAGUCGAACGCGCGAGCGGAGAGGUGCUUGCACUUUCAAGCGAGUGGCGAACGGGUGAGUAACACGUGGAUAACCUUGCCUCAAGGCUGGGGAUAACAUUUGGAAACAGAUGCUAAUACCGAAUAAAACUUAAGUAUCGCAUGAUAUAAAGUUAAAAAGGACGCUACGGCGUCACCUAGAGAUGGAUCCGCGGUGCAUUAGUUAGUUGGUGAGGUAAAGGCUCACCAAGACAAUGAUGCAUAGCCGAGUUGAGAGACUGAUCGGCCACAUUGGGACUGAGACACGGCCCAAACUCCUACGGGAGGCUGCAGUAGGGAAUCUUCCACAAUGGGCGCAAGCCUGAUGGAGCAACGCCGCGUGUGUGAUGAAGGCUUUCGGGUCGUAAAGCACUGUUGUAUGGGAAGAACAGCUAGAAUAGGGAAUGAUUUUAGUGUGACGGUACCAUACCAGAAAGGGACGGCUAAAUACGUGCCAGCAGCCGCGGUAAU
rnacentral:rRNA from 1 species